rnacentral:rRNA from 1 species
GACGAACGCUGGCGGCGUGCUUAACACAUGCAAGUCGAACGGAAAGGCCCUGCUUUUGUGGGGUGCUCGAGUGGCGAACGGGUGAGUAACACGUGAGUAACCUGCCCUUGACUUUGGGACAACUUCAGGAAACUGGGGCUAAUACCGGAUAGGAGCUCCUGCUGCAUGGUGGGGGUUGGAAAGUUUCGGCGGUUGGGGAUGGACUCGCGGCUUAUCAGCUUGUUGUGGGGUAGUGGCUUACCAAGGCUUUGACGGGUAGCCGGCCUGAGAGGGUGACCGGCCACAUUGGGACUGAGAUACGGCCCAGACUCCUACGGGAGGCAGCAGUGGGGAAUAUUGCACAAUGGGCGGAAGCCUGAUGCAGCAACGCCGCGUGCGGGAUGACGGCCUUCGGGUUGUAAACCGCUUUCGCCUGUGACGAAGCGUGAGUGACGGUAAUGGGUAAAGAAGCACCGGCUAACUACGUG